rnacentral:ncRNA from 1 species
CCAGGAGAGAGCCCGACCGCGCGUCGGGCCGCCGAAGGCGCAGGGCCGUCCGGCAACGGCGGCCCGAACGCUCAGGCAACAGGGACUGG